CCUGUAGCUCAGCUGGAUAGAGUACCUGGCUGCGAACCAGGCGGUCGCACGUUCGAAUCGUGCCAG
rnacentral:ncRNA from 14 species